UAACCACCAGCGCUGGAGCCAACUGGAUGUGGGGAGGCGGUGAAUUGCCAUUGCUCUGCAGCUGUCUUUGAGUUGGAUUUAUGGGACUGCACUGCCAUACCGCUGCCAUCUGUACAUAGCUCUGAGCCACUGUGGGAUCUGGAGUGACUAAGCCCCAACCACUGUGGCCUGGACUUCUCCCAUCACAGCCUUGACCACUGUGAGUUGUCCCUGUUUGGGAGUACACUUGUCACUGGACUAAACUGCAAGUUCUGUGAGAGCAAGGAUCAGGGCAACAGUGUGUCUCCAGCAUCAGAUGAAGCCCAGGUCUGUCCCAGAGGAGGUACCCAGUGAAUGAGCCGACUGAUGGUUCAUGAAGAUCCCAGGGAYUGAGCUCCCGAUCAAUCACCUGUAGACUCUCCUUCAGCUGCGGGAUGAGCAUCUUAUAGCGCUGCACAGGAUCG